rnacentral:misc_RNA from 1 species
AAGUCGUAACAAGGUUUCCGUAGGUGAACCUGCGGAAGGAUCAUCACUGAUUUUCUUUAUGAAAAACAACAUCGGUCUCACAGUAAAAACAUCAAGGUUGCAAUAGGAGUUUAUUGCUUUUAGGGUCUUGCACUCUAUGAGCUCUACUGGUUAUGGACUAGACAGUUUUCACCUAGUGAUGCUGUUUUUGUUUUGUAACUGCUCCUACUGCUCCCUACCUAGUAUAACUAUUAUCAUUUACAACCUAUUAAGCCAUACAAGAAAUUCAAAAAGAAAAACACAACUUUCAACAAUGGAUCUCUUGGCUCUU